rnacentral:tRNA from 1 species
GGAGGGGUGGGGGUCGUGUGGCGCAGCGCCCCACUGGGGAGGGGAGGGGGAGGUCACUCCUCCUCCCCUCCCCCA